rnacentral:rRNA from 1 species
AUUGAACGCUGGCGGCAGGCCUAACACAUGCAAGUCGAGCGGAUGACGGGAGCUUGCUCCUUGAUUCAGCGGCGGACGGGUGAGUAAUGCCUAGGAAUCUGCCUGGUAGUGGGGGACAACGUUUCGAAAGGAACGCUAAUACCGCAUACGUCCUACGGGAGAAAGCAGGGGACCUUCGGGCCUUGCGCUAUCAGAUGAGCCUAGGUCGGAUUAGCUAGUAGGUGAGGUAAUGGCUCACCUAGGCGACGAUCCGUAACUGGCCUGAGAGGAUGAACAGUCACACUGGGACUGAGACACGGUCCAGACUCCUACGGGAGGAAGAAGUGGGGAAUAUUGGACAAUGGGCGAAAGCCUGAUCCAGCCAUGCCGCGUGUGUGAAGAAGGUCUUCGGAUUGUAAAGCACUUUAAGUUGGGAGGAAGGGCAGUAAGUUAAUACCUUGCUGUUUUGACGUUACCGACAGAAUAAGCACCGGCUAACUCUGUGCCAGCCGCCGCCGUAAUAC